AACGCAAAUGGCGCUCUCUGGUAUCCCGGGGAGCAUGCCUGCUUGAGAACCGUAAAGAAUUAAUCACUGGAAGGAAUUCCUCAUCGGGUUUUCUUUUUGGUGGAGUUGGAUCACCGGACGGCGGGCAAACAUGUCUGGUAGUUUUUGUGAUCCCAAAGAUAUGUUUGUUUACUGGGGUGGAAAAGAACGGUUUUGUUUUCCCCUAAGGCGAGGAUAAUGAAGGAAGGGAGGGGAGAGAGGGACACUUGUCUUUUUUUCGAACCUUCUCUUUUAUUUAACAGCCGAUAGGUGUUGGAAAACCGUGAUGUUGUUGUAUUUUUUCAACAUUUUAUCCAUCCGAUCAUGGUCUCAAAUCAGGCAAGAGAACCCGCUGAACUUAA
rnacentral:misc_RNA from 1 species